CAUCACAGUCUGAGUUCUUGCU
rnacentral:ncRNA from 12 species